UGGGGAAUUUUGGACAAUGGGCGAAAGCCUGAUCCAGCAAUGCCGCGUGUGUGAAGAGGGCCUUCGGGUUGUAAAGCACUUUUGUCCGGAAAGAAAUCCUUGGCUCUAAUACAGUCGGGGGAUGACGGUACCGGAAGAAUAAGCACCGGCUAACUACGUGCCAGCAGCCGCGGUAAUACGUAGGGUGCAAGCGUUAAUCGGAAUUACUGGGCGUAAAGCGUGCGCAGGCGGUCUGCUAAGACCGAUGUGAAAUCCCCGGGCUCAACCUGGGAACUGCAUUGGUGACUGGCAGGCUAGAGUAUGGCAGAGGGGGGUAGAAUUCCACGUGUAGCAGUGAAAUGCGUAGAGAUGUGGAGGAAUACCGAUGGCGAAGGCAGCCCCCUGGGCCAAUACUGACGCUCAUGCACGAAAGCGUGGGGAGCAAACAGGAUUAGAUACCCUGGUAGUCCACGCCCUAAACGAUGUCAACUAGUUGUUGGGGAUUCAUUUCCUUAGUAACGUAGCUAACGCGUGAAGUUGACCGCCUGGGGAGUACGGUCGCAAGAUUAAAACUCAAAGGAAUUGACGGGGU
rnacentral:rRNA from 1 species